UACGUAGGGUGCAAGCGUUGUCCGGAAUUAUUGGGCGUAAAGAGCUCGUAGGCGGUUUGUCGCGUCUGCUGUGAAAACCCGAGGCUCAACCUCGGGCCUGCAGUGGGUACGGGCAGACUAGAGUGCGGGUAGGGAGAUUGGAAUUCCUGGUGUAGCGGUGGAAUGCGCAGAUAAUCAGGAGGAACACCAAUGGCGAAGGCAGAUCUCUGGGCCGUAACUGACGCUGAGACGCGAAAGCGUGGGGAGCGAACAGG
rnacentral:rRNA from 1 species